AGGAAAAACUAACCAUACCAUCAAUCCAGGGUCAAGGGUGACAUCUGUGAACACCUGGGAGCCUCGGGGAUGGGUGAGGCCUAAGAAUGGAGUCCAGGACAGGGUGCAGAUCGCAGAUGGUGCGAUGGGCAUCUGUUGUCUUUGUUUGCCUUUCAAGAGCAGACAUUUUUCUCUAGCUCAGACUUCACCUACACUUUCUAUUCAGAGUAUCAUCUUUCACAGUCUCAACAUGGACAGUCACGUGUCCUAGACCACGGCCUCCUCGAGGCUCUUCAAUACACUCUCCAAGAGUAACUGGUUGGACCAAUAGGACAGAAGUGAUGCUGGUGGACUUCUGAGGCUUUUGCUUGGCUCUGCCUCUGCAGACACACAGCGCUGAGCCACCAUAAUACAGAGGCUGGCUCUCCGGAAGCCACCAGCAGUGCUGGGAGACCACACCGGGGUCGAGAGAUGCCUAGAAGCUCCCGCUGUUCCAGCCCCCAGCUGCUGAGGCUUCCUGGCUCAGGCUCCUGAGUGAAGGCGCCUUCAAGAUGGCUCCAACCCCACCUACCAUCUGACUGCAACCUCACGAAAGCCCCUCAACUCAGAACCACACAGCUGAGCCACUUCUAAAUUCUCAUCCCACAGAAACGGAGAGAUAAUAAAUGAAUAUUAUUGUUUUAAGUUGA